GUCGAGGGGCAGCAUGGUCUUAGCUUGCUAAGGCCGAUGGCGACCGGCGCACGGGUGAGUAACACGUAUCCAACCUGCCGUCUACUCUUGGACAGCCUUCUGAAAGGAAGAUUAAUACAAGAUGGCAUCAUGAGUCCGCAUGUUCACAUGAUUAAAGGUAUUCCGGUAGACGAUGGGGAUGCGUUCCAUUAGAUAGUAGGCGGGGUAACGGCCCACCUAGUCUUCGAUGGAUAGGGGUUCUGAGAGGAAGGUCCCCCACAUUGGAACUGAGACACGGUCCAAACUCCUACGGGAGGCAGCAGUGAGGAAUAUUGGUCAAUGGGCGAGAGCCUGAACCAGCCAAGUAGCGUGAAGGAUGACUGCCCUAUGGGUUGUAAACUUCUUUUAUAAAGGAAUAAAGUCGGGUAUGCAUACCCGUUUGCAUGUACUUUAUGAAUAAGGAUCGGCUAACUCCGUGCCAGCAGCCGCGGUAAUACGGAGGAUUCGAGCGUUAUCCGGAUUUAUUGGGUUUAAAGGGAGCGUAGAUGGAUGUUUAAGUCAGUUGUGAAAGUUUGCGGCUCAACCGUAAAAUUGCAGUUGAUACUGGAUAUCUUGAGUGCAGUUGAG
rnacentral:rRNA from 1 species